rnacentral:rRNA from 1 species
AUUGAACGCUGGCGGCAUGCCUUACACAUGCAAGUCGAACGGCAGCACGGGAGCAAUCCUGGUGGCGAGUGGCGAACGGGUGAGUAAAGUAUCGGAACGUGCCCAGUCGUGGGGGAUAACGUAGCGAAAGUUACGCUAAUACCGCAUACGAUCUAUGGAUGAAAGCGGGGGAUCGCAAGACCUCGCGCGAUUGGAGCGGCCGGUAUCAGAUUAGGUAGUUGGUGGGGUAAAGGCUCACCAAGCCGACGAUCUGUAGCUGGUCUGAGAGGACGACCAGCCACACUGGGACUGAGACACGGCCCAGACUCCUACGGGAGGCAGCAGUGGGGAAUUUUGGACAAUGGGCGAAAGCCUGAUCCAGCCAUGCCGCGUGCAGGAUGAAGGCCUUCGGGUUGUAAACUGCUUUUGUACGGAACGAAAAGGUUUGGGCUAAUACAGGGGGCUCAUGACGGUACCGUAAGAAUAAGCCACGGCUAACUCUGUGCCAGCAGCCGCCGUAA